GAUGAACGCUGGCGGCGUGCCUAAUACAUGCAAGUCGAGCGAACAGACGAGGAGCUUGCUCCUCUGACGUUAGCGGCGGACGGGUGAGUAACACGUGGAUCACCUACCUAUAAGACUGGGAUAACUUCGGGACACCGGCGCUAAUACCGGAUAAUAUAUUGCACCGCAUGGUUCAAUAGUGAAAGACGGUUUUGCUGUCACUUCUAGAUGGUUCCGCGCCGCAUUAGCUAGUUGGUAAGGUAACGGCUUACCAAGGCGACGAUGCGUAGCCGACCUGAGAGGGUGAUCGGCCACACGGGAACUGAGACACGGUCCAGACUCCUACGGGAGGCAGCAGAAGGGAAUCUGCCGCAAUGGGCGAAAGCCUGACGGAGCAACGCCGCGUGAGUGAUGAAGGUCUUCGGAUCGUAAAACUCUGUUAUUAGGGAAGAACAAAUGUGUAAGUAACUAUGCACGUCUUGACGGUACCUAAUCAGAAAGCCACGGCUAACUACGUG
rnacentral:rRNA from 1 species